rnacentral:lncRNA from 1 species
ACCCCUCCUCUCACAUCAUGUGCAAUAAGAAGAUAGGUAUAACUAUCCCACUUCUCUCAUAUUAUGAAUAGUGAAAAGUAGUGUAACUACCCUCUUUAGAUUUUGCUCUUGUAGAACCUCGUCAUAGGCUGAUAACCCUCACUCCUCUUAACUCUGUACUAUAAUCAUUUGGCCUGCACUCUUGGUAUUUCGGUCUGCACCUCUCUUGCUAUGUCGGUCUUUAGAUUACAAUUGGUCUGAAUAUAGUGCAAGCACCUACACUCUAUAACGUAUUUUCUAAAAUUUUAUAAAAUGCUUAUUUUCCUAAAAUUUUUCUAAUAAAUACUAUUUUUUUAUUUUCUACUUUUCCUGUUCUCCUUAAUAAGCUAUGGAGGUUCCCUAAUGCUACUAUAAAUCCUUACUGAACAAAGCCACUCAUUAUCUAAUAAUUCUAUACUUGCCCCUCUUGCACCAUGAUAACUGAUAAGUCUCUUGCUUUAGACACAAAUAACAAUUAUUUCUAUCUAUUCUUCCACCCAGUUAGUCACCAAAUUUCACCCAAUAAUAGCCCUAAAAUUGGACUAGGGAAAGCUACAAGCUUAUCCUAACAUGACCUGCUCAGAUGACAUUUCUCUUUAUUUCUGACAACACUUCUUAUAAUCUUGUUAGCAAUUUUUGAAGACUUGCUAUAGAAACAAAUAUUGAUUGCCUGGAUUGUUCCUAUCAAACUCUUUCUUCAAAAUAAGAUAGCUGAUUACUAUGAGAUUUGCUCCUUGAGAGGAGUGCUAUUUUGGAGAGACAUAGGAUACACAAAUGAGAUAUUUCAUUAUGACCCUAUCAAAUUCACCCAACAGGAGAGGAUAUCUUGUUCGAUAGCUUCUGAUGAACCCAAGAAUACACCAUUAAUUACCUUCAAAUAUCGGAGCACCUCUGACUAUAAGACCUUAUUCACAAGUGCUGAAAGAAGAUGAACAUAAUUAAAUAUAAAUAUGAAUUUCAUAAGUCACUAAAUGUUACAUGGCUUAACCAGAGUCAAAGGAAUAACUUAAGGAGGGUUAGAGGACUAACUCUAAUUUUUAUUAAGUAGAGUUAAAUGUCUAACUCUAGUUUGGAUCUUAUCAAAUGCCAAAGGACUAACCCUAGCAUGAAAUUGAUUCAACUAGAGUCAGAGGACUAACUAUAGAUGCAUCAAAAAAAGAGUUACUAAUUGGGGCCGCGGGACCAGUAACCAACCAUAUCUUAGUUUCAAAGUAUAAAUUUAGCAGACUACGAUUUGAUACUUUAAAUGAUCCAAAUUUAAUAUGGACUGGACUUGAUUUGAUCUAAUCGAGGUUUACUUAAAAUUUCAUUGAUCUUUUUGGGACCCCAAUUGGAUUUGGCCAAUCUUGGGAUUUGACCCUCUUUUAGGUCUAACCCAUGCUUAAUCAAGCGCAUACAAUCUUAGAUUUUAAAUUUGAAUCUUUUCACCUUUGGGUUUCAGAUAUAAAUUUCUCGACUGUGUUUGUACCCAUUUUCAUGGAUGCAAGUUUAGGGUGAUAAGUCUAGUUAGAAUUUUGAUUUUCAUGUGUACAUAGAUCUAACUCUCUUUCGCUUAAAUCGUAUGCUUUGAAGAUUAAGUUGGGAAUAUGCCCCUAUUGAUUAGUUUUAACCUUUUACAAUUUGGUUUAAGCUUUAUAAAAAUCUUCUUUCUAUAAAAAGCUAUUUUUUAUUUUUUUAAAAAAAUUCAACGAAAUAUAAAAUAUUUUUUUUAUUGGUCAUAUAUUUCUCUCUCCUCUUUCUGAUUAUCCAAUGAGCCCGUAGUGGUAGGUAAGUUCGAUGGACUAGCUUCUAGAUAUGCAUUGUGACGUCCGGAUAUGUCAUCCGACUUAAUGGCAAACUAGUUUUUUUUUUUUUGGAUUUAUUGGCUUGUAGGUAAAGCUGAGCCGAGUUUGAGCUCAAAAAAUAUUAAAUUUUAUAUAAACUCUACUCGGAAUCCAAAUAGAGCUUAAGCCCGAAGUCCGGCCCAUGAUGAACUCCACUUAUAGAUAUAAUUACUAGCAUUAUGUUUGUGCAAUGCGAUUUUAAGCUAUUGGCAGGACAAAACUGGAUGCAUUGGAAAUUUGAGAAAUAUUCACACACCAUCAAGACUCGCUUCGAAUUUUUUUUAAAAAAUAAGAAAUCAAAAAUUGGUGUCAGAAUCUUGCGGUGGAGGGGAAAUCCCAAGUGUUUCCAUCAUAUAAAAAGAAAGAUGUAAUAACAGACAAAAACUUCACCAUUUUACCCCACUAUAUAUUUAACAAUUAUGAAUGUUUUAAUAGAGAUAGAGAUAAGGCCAUAAGAAAUUAACAUCCUCUUAAGUAUUGGAUACAAAAGUAAUCAUGUGGGCCCGUUUAGUUGGGCCCAGCUGGAUUUCUGGAUUGGGAUCCACGGGCAUCUGACGUGGAUUUCAUUAAUAAUAGGUAUCUGGUCACCAUUCAGUGAACAUAAGUGCACUACGGUCCAAUCUAUCAUGUCCACUUGUCCAGAGAGAUGACAAGCUAUUAGGUUUUGUUUUUUUUCAUUUUUCUUCUGUUUUAGUGUCAUGUUGCCUGGGAAAAACAGGAAAACAAAAUCCCCCAUUUGGAUGAGAUUCCCUGUUAUUUGAGUUAAGUUCUAGUCCGAUCCGCUUUGUACCCAAAAAACACAAAAAUCCGAUCCUCUAGAUCUUUUCUAUAUAUAUAUAUAUAUAACAUAAUAUAGUAAGUAACGAGAUUCAUUGGAUUCAGAUAAAAAAUUAAAAAAUAUAUAUUUUUUUUGAUUUAGAACUUCGAAGAGUCCAACCACGGUAAAAAAAACUCCAAAUAUAAAAAUAAGACACAACCUUUUUACUCUCUCUUAUUCUUUAUCUUUUUUAUUUUUCUUAUUUCUGGAUCUAAUUUGCAUCAAAGGUUCCCCAUGUUGAUCAGCAUCAGUGAUCUCUUGUACCCUUCUUUUAAUGUACAAAUUAGUUCUUUAUCUUCUACUACAUCAGAUUAAUCAGCAUCAUUCACGUCUCCAAAUUAUUAGAUCGGAUUUUGGUGGCAACACACACACAAAAAAUAUAUACUUAAAUUGAGUAAUUCCUCGGGGCAUUAGAUAGAUUGAAAGUGCAAACUCAAGUGAAUAAUAAAAUUGAAAAAAAUAAAAACACUCAUAGAGAUCUCUAAGAAGGAGUUAUUAGGGCAUUAGAUAGAUUGAAUGUCAGUUUACUAUAUAUUUUUUUUUAAUGGUUGGGGUACCAACAAUAAUUUUAAUAAAUGAUUAGGGGAACGCCCGAGUCAAAAAAUUUAAAAGAAGAAAAAUAAAUCAGCACAUUAAAAAAAGAAAAUUAAAAAAUUUCUUAUGUUUGGUUCAAAGAAAAAAAUUUUAAGAAAGUAGCUAGGAGAUGGAAGAAAAUUUAUGUAUUUGUUAAAGAAAAUUAUUUCUCCAUUAUAUUUUUUUGUUCUCUCCUUACUUUUUACUUCCAAAUAAUGGAAAAAAGAUUAUUGCCUACCAUAGUUUAUUUCCUUUCACUUUCUCAAUAACUAAAUAAAAUAGAAAAAUAUUCCUUAUUAAAUUUGAAUCUAGCACUUUCUCCAAAUAGAGGAAUGUAACCAGAAGAGCUUUAGCUUAGUUUGAGCGAAGCAAGCUAGCUAGAUUGUUCGUAUGCUUAAAACCUUUACAUUUCUAUAUUUCUAUCUACAAUGAAAGCUAUAUAUAUAUACAAGAUCUAACUUGAAAAUAUUAAAAAAAAUAAAGUCUCACGGCAGUUACCAAUAAGUGCUUUAUUAGGAACUAAUUUAUCAAUAUAACACGAGGACCUCUUUUGUUGUGAAAUAAAAUCAGAUGAGAUUUUUCUUUUUGGACUACAAUAUCAAAUUGCAACAUGAAAAGUCCAACUUGUUUUUGAUCUGCAUGAGAAGUGCAGCACAAAUUGUAUUUGAUCUCACAGUCAUAUUUUGGGAGUUGACUACAACUCAUUUAAAGGAGGAAUUAUUUUAUGGAUCAAAUCUACAGUGGUUCCAAGAUGAAAUCAUCCUCAAAUAAUUUCUCCACUCAAAGAUUCAUGACGUUGGCUUUUCUUGUUUUUUUUCCUCCGUAUUUGCCUCUUUCCAAUAAAACCGGGCCCGUGGGGAGGUUGGUGGGCCCCAUCCCGAAGAUAGAAACCAGAACAGUUUUAGGAUUUAUCCUGACAACUUCUCGUCUCAUUCUACAUACAUGGCAGAGGAGUUCUAACGUCUGCAUCUGUCUCUUCUACUCCCCAUUUGUCUCUCCGUUUCUUUCUCUUCUUCUCUUCCACUUCCACUUCUUCGCCCUCUUGAUCUCUCUGACUGAGAUAGAGAGAUCUUUGGAGGACUCCGAGGCUCGGCAGAGAUGAUAGCCAGUAGUCUCCUUCGAUCCAAGGCCUCCUCCAAGGUAUUCAAGUCGCUUACUCGCUUGCUUUGUGAUCUUUUUCCCGAUCAACAAGCUGUAUUUGUGGUGAAUUUUUUAUUUGAUUUGGCCGAUAAUUGUGUCAUUCUUGCUUUAUGGAUUGGAUGGAUGUGGUUCCUGGAUGAUAGUCGUAGUUUUGAUUUGAUGUGUUUCUCUAAAAAAAAAGUUUUUUUUUUUUUUUGUAAAUGAAUGCGUGGAAUCUCGAUGAGUGGUUCCAACUGGCUGGAUGAUUAGCCGCUUGGAAUGAUUCUCAACAAAAGUGAUUCCAUGGCAUUCCUCUGAUUCUUUUUUCCACUGCUUUUGGGUUUCUAAUUGGUUCUUAUUUUGGGUCUGAUCUAGAUGAGUGGUUUUAAAUGGGUGUUAAACUAUUCUCAUGAACACUUCGUGUUCUGUAUGUAAAGCGUUUUUUUUUUUUUUUUUUUUUUUUGUUGAAUGGGUCUAGAUGCUUUCACUGCAGUUUUUUAUUUUUUGAUUUUUUUUGUUCUGAGUUUUGUUUUGAACAAAUUUAGACUCAAUUUCAAUAGCAAUUGUCGAACUUGUAUUGUUGUUAUUUAUGUGAGUUAAUUAUUGAUGCUUUUGGCCACAUAUUCUAGUUUAAACAAUUUUAAAUUCUUGUUUAUGUGAAUUGGUGACUGAUGUAUUUAUCAUAAUUCCUUUUUUAUUCUGACUUUUUUAAAUCCGUUAUAUAUGAGUAAUGCCCAAUGCAUUUAAUUUGUACACGCAACUACAUAGUUAAUCAUAUAGCACUUGUUGCUAUACGUGAUUUGGGUGUUCAUCUUUUUGGUUAGCAUCCUUUUUUAGAUUCCAGUCAUCAUUAGUAGUUGUAAAUGGAUUUGUGUUUCGAGGUCAUGUAACUCUUUCUUAUAUGAACCAUAUAUUGAUGCUUCUGAUGACCGUUUGAUAAAGUUGCCUUGUUGUAACUAGUUCUAGAUCUGAUCUUGAUGAGUUUUUCCAGAUGCCUGUAUGAUUUCUUCUUGCUACUUUUUUUUUUCAUGUCAUUUGCUUACCUUGUCAUAUUAAUACCCUGUUUUAUCCUUCAUAGGUUGGCAUGCUCAUCAGGCAUGUUGCAACUGCUGAAAGGUUUCAGAGUCAUGGACCUCCAUACAUUGCUUCAUUUGCAAGGCUGAUGUGUUCACAGGCAUCUCUUCUGACUGAUCCAACAGAUGAAAAAGGGUAUCAAUGUUAUGAUCGAUUAAAUAAACUAAUUUCUAGUUUUAGCGUUGAAUAUGCUAUCACCGUUUCAUGCCUUGUGGCCUCUUUUUUUUAGUUACUUGUAUUCAACUUCCCACAUUUGUGAACAAGACAUGCAUGUUGUGCAUCUACUAAAUGUGUUUUCUGGUGUCAUAUUUUGAAUUUGUCAGGUUUAAGGGGCAUGAUAUGUUAGCACCAUUUACUGCUGGAUGGCAAAGCACUGACUUGCACCCCCUAGUCAUUGAGAAAUCAGAGGUAAUUACCUCAGAGAGUUAUGUUGGUCUUUUUGUUUUGGUUUUCACUGAUAAUCAUACUUACCUUGCAAGCUUCUAAAAGAUGUGGAUAACAUAGAUUAUGACAUUAACCAUCAAUACUUGUCCCAACAAUUUAACUUCAGGUUUACAAAAUCGUAGCUCUAAAAGUUCAAGCCAGGAAAGAUGAAAAAAUAACAAGUCAUGGAACUAUUUGCAAUUAUUUGGUGUAAUACAAUGUCGAAGUGGUUUUAGAAACAACAUUGCUUCUAAUAUUACAUUGGUGAAAAAUGUCAUUUUACAUUUAACUGAAAGCUGUUGGUAAAUGCUGCAGGGUUCUUAUGUUUAUGACAACAAUGGGAAGAAAUAUCUUGAUACCCUUGCUGGAUUAUGGUGCACAGCUUUAGGUACCCAAAAUCUGCUAAUUAUUAAACGUCAUUUUCAGGAUUACUUUCUUCUAAGCACCAGUACUUGUUGUCACUGAUAUACAUGGUACGUAGUAUUGAUAUAAACACCCUUUACUAAUCUUUAUAUUGCCUUAUUGUCAUCUUAACAAAUAAGUGUGGCAACAUUUAGUUUGAAAAGGUCUUCACAAAUAGGCAUUUGAAGAAAGUUAGUAUUAUCUGCCAAAAGCCACUAUGCAUCAUUUUAAGAAAAGGUUCUGGACUUCUGUUCUUCUUAUCCAUGGAAACUUCAACUUAUGUCUCCCUUCUUCUGAAUCUUCUAUCCAGCAUUGUGUCAAAUGAUGGCCAGUAUGAUUAUUGCUGUCAAGCUGGCUCUUGGUGCAAAUUGUUUAGGAAAUAUUGGAAAUGAUGAUGUUAGCAAGACCUCUGAAUAGUGGAUCAUAAUGCGCAAGGAUCACUGUCAUUAUGUCAUAGUAAAAUUUGGUGUUUAUUGAUUACUAGUCAAACAAGCGUAAAAAUUUAGGACAGAGAAUCGUACGGUUGAAUGGGAGGGGAAGGACUAGAGAAAGCACACAAGCAACAUAUAGUUUCCCUGUUUGUCAUGGAUGCCAAUUCUGCAUGGACUUGCAGUGAGUGAAGUAUCUGAAAGUUUUAAAUUGCUUAUAGCUAGUUUUCAGGUAGAAGAGCUAAUAUUUUGACUAAGCACCUGAUGAUUUUCCAUAAUGUAAAUUCUUGGUUGAAUUAUUAGUUGCUUACAAGUUUCCAUACGGCGAUCUUAUUUGAAUAAAUAUGUUGGUCAAUUUGUAUAUCUAAAUGAUUAGUUUUUUAGCCAAUUGGGUUUUGCCCUAGUGGUCACUCCCCUCUUCUUAGCAACCAAAGGUUCUAGGUUUGGCUUGGGUGGUGUGUGCAAGAGAAUGCUCAGGAUAUGACAUGCAUUCUGGCAUAUCUGCACUGCGUUACUGACACAUAAUAUUAUAUAUGCAUGUUGAUGGGAAUCUAAGUUGUUCUCAGAGAGGAGUGCUAACUAAAGCUCUAACCAGUUAACAAUUGAAAUAUAAUAGUUGAAGUCUUGAGUUUCAUUCUUUAUAGUUAGGUUUUUUGUGUCUAACAUCCUAUCUUCAUUUUUCAUCAUGGUAGAUUUGGUGUCAUUUGAAUGGUCUCUAAACUUGGAUGGUCUAUUGUGACAUAUAGGUCUCAUUUUUCCAUUUUUUUCUUGUGAAAUAGAAGAUUAGUAAUCCAAGGUUCGCCGUCUCAGUAUCGGACCCUAUACUAGUAUUAUUCUAUUAGAGUUUCAGUAUGCGGUUCGGUAUGGUACAGCUUAGCAUACCGAGUGCUAGUAUGGUAUGGUACAAUGUACUGGUACGGUAUGGUACGUCUGGUAUGGCAAAAUCUUAAUCUCUGUUCAGAUAUUGCAAUACUUAACUGCCAACACUUAAUCAAUAGUCUGAUGUAAAUUUCAUAUUCUUGGUAUAUAGGAGAAAAUAUUUUCUUUUCUAUUUAAUGAAGUUAUGAUUCUUGCUGGUAUUAAGCCUCAAACUGGGUAAAGCUUUUCUGAGACUGUUAUUUGGAAGUAAAAGUUUUGAGAACUGCAAUCUUUUCUACACAUCAAUCUAUGCACCACUACCACUAGACUAUUAAUUGAAUUUAAUUUAUUCUUUCAUGAACUUGCCAUUUCAAUAUCUUUCAGGUGGAAGUGAGCCUCGACUUGUUGAAGCUGCAACUGCACAAUUAAAAAAACUGCCAUUUUAUCAUUCCUUUUGGAAUCGUACCACAAAGCCUUCAUUGGUGCGUACAACUUCUUAUAUACUUCUAACUUCUUUCAUUUGUUCAAAAAUAAUUUGAUGCUACCAUAGUAUUUGUAUAAUUCAAUUCUAUUAUACACCACUUUGCAUUAUUAACAAUAACUUGCAACUAAAAAAUUGAACCACAAAUGCUGCACCUCUAUGACUUGAAUUUGUCUCAACUAUGAAUUGAUUUCUGUUUUAAUUAUAUGAGGGCUUCAUCCUACUCUCCUAGAAUCAUCUUAUCGUUGUUGGUUCCAAUUAAUUCUAAGUAUCAUUUAUGCAUUAGCUGCUGUUUUAUUUUCUUCAUAUUGGAUCAUUGAUUAGUCUUCUGAAGGUACUCUUUAAUGUUUAUCCAUGAAAAUUGUUACUACUGUUCUUGCAGGAUCUUGCAAAGGAACUUCUUGAGACUUUCACAGCAAGGAAAAUGGGAAAGGUCUUCUUCACCAACAGUGGUUCAGAAGCUAAUGAUUCCCAGGUCUGUUGGUUUUCCUUGUAUAGCUAGUGAAAAUCACCAAGGAUUCCUUAUGACGUUUUCUCCCUAAUAUUUAAUAUUUUAGUUUACUUGGAUGCUGUCAGACUCCCUACUUCAUGGUAAGAGAACAAAUUUGGCUGUCUGCAGAUAUGCCAGAAGCAAUCCAGAUACCUUUUUGUUUUUCAUUGUAGUUAAGAGCUAGUUUCUGCAUCUUUAGUUUUAGUGGUGAAGAUUGAGUAGUUAUGGUAGUACACAAGGAGUGUGGGAAUUGGAGAGGCCACCACUCAAAUGUAAUACUGGAGAACAUUUAAAAUUUUAAACGCUUGUUUCCACAUAUAUCGUGGUGAUGGGCAGGGAAUAAAUAUUGACAUGGUGCAUGAUUUUUUUUUAGUGACUAAUAUUUUAUUUGUUUCUGCAGACUUGAUGCUGUCUUGACAAACCUGGAUAUUCUCAUUGUCAUCUUUAUUUUACACCUGUUUCUUGCUCUCAUUGUGAUUUGUUGCUUUGGCAUGCUUUAUCAAGACUCUUCGGUUGUUUAUGCUGAUGUCAACUAGCCCAAUCAUGCUAAAAUUUUCCAUACUCUAUCAGAUUAUAUUCUUAGUUAUAGAUCUUGCAGUGGAUGUACACCUAGUUAUGAUAAGGAUGGCUUGUGGGGCUAUGAAGCAAUAUAGUUGUCAUGAUGCUUCGGCAAUUGUCUAAAUCUUGUUGUUUCUGCAACCAGAUGGAUAGUCAUGCUGGACAUAUUAAAAUAGCAAAGAUAGUAAAAUAGGCUUUCUUGUAUUACAAUUUUUUUCAACGAUUAAAGUAUAUCACAAUAUGAAACUUUAUUGUUUAAUCUAAUAUGGAACUGUUAUUAAGGUUUUGAUGGAUGUCACAAUUUGAUACUUGGGAUAGUUAUUGUGUCUUAGAAUGCUCAGAUCAAGCUGAAGAUGAACUGUCAUUGUCAGCAGUUUAUUUCUACUUUGGUAAGGUGCAUAUCUAGCUUUGAGCCUUGCACCUAGGCUACAAGAAACCUUGGUGCCUCUUUUGUGCCUUGAAUGUUUAAUAACUUUGCUCUGAUGUACAAAUUAAAAGGAAAGAAUCUGAUUGAAAUCAGACUCCCUGCUUGAUGACAGAAUGGUGACAAGCCAUCUAUAAAGCCACUUAUUUUGUUUAAAUAUUCUUGAUUUUAUGAUUAUCAUAGUUUUGAAUCUUAGACAUGAGAUGCAUUUGCUUGUGUUAACAAUGCUUUGGAGGACCAAGAGAAAUAAAUUUUCAGCGUUCCAAAGGAAUCUUAGCAUUCACAGCAUCAAGAACCUGCAGCAAAACUUCUUCAAAUGGUGACUUUGACCGUUCUCAAAGCUUUUAAAGUUUUGGCAGCCCAAAACAUUAAAGUUAAAACCUGGUGGUUUUCAUGGAUUUUUUCUCAGUUGCACUGCUUAAUAGAUGUAAUAUCCAGAGGAGUAGGUUUGGGCCAUUAAUGUGUUCCAUCAUCUAUUGCCACAAUCAAACACA